GCAAUCCAUGAGUACAGCGGCGUACGGGUGAGUAACACGUGGGUAAUCUACCUCUGAGUGGGGAAUAACCCUGGGAAACCGGGGCUAAUACCGCAUAAGCCUGAGAAGGGAAAGGGAGCGAUUCGCUCGGAGAGGAGCCCGCGGCCGAUUAGCUAGUUGGUGGGGUAAAGGCCUACCAAGGCGACGAUCGGUAGCCGGCCUGAGAGGGCACACGGCCACACUGGCACUGGGACACGGGCCAG
rnacentral:rRNA from 1 species